rnacentral:lncRNA from 1 species
CUUAGAUUUCAGCUCCUUUCAGGGUCAUUGCCCUCUUGGAAUCAGGAUCAAGGUGGGCAGAGCCUAUGGUUGGGCCACAGUACACUCUAGGAGAGGCAGUUUGGAUUACUUUAGCACAAGGGACUUUCCAAAACCAAAGUUAUUAGGAAAAGCAGAAAGGAGAAUGGUUGGAAAAAAUGCUGUUAACACCUGAUCCACACGUUCUUUCCUCCCUGUGCUGCUCAUAAUCACUUACAGACGCUGAGAAAAGCCUGUUAAAAUCUGUUACUAUGACUUUAGACAUUCAUUUCUCCUGAUUGUUAUAAAAUAGAGAACAAGCCUCCACCUCCAUCACUGAUACUCCUUCUUUUGAUGAACCACAAGGAGAUUGGCAUUCUGGUUGUGAGCCCUGCCCAUCACAGGAGAUCUGGCAACCAAAAAACAGGACUGUUCUUGAGAAAAUGCAAUGCAGAGAUCAGAAUGCCACACUCAUGUAACUCAGAUGUGCCAUACAGAUGUGAGGCGACUGGACUUAAAAUAGGAGCAGUUUUCUCUGCAGCCCGGACAACUAUUUCCACCCGAAGGAGAGAACUGAGCAGGAGAUCCUCACCUCACUCCGGUAUAUGGGAUUUGGAGUCAGCCACGGUCACAGUUUGAACCCUUGCUACACCAUUUUGAGACUGUGGGCCUUGGAGAAUCUGUUUCCUCUUCUGUAAAAUGGGGUGACAAUUUCUACCUAGCUUGGGGUACAGUAAGAUUAAAUAAUGCAUGUAAGAUGCCUGGCACCUGGCGGGGAUCCAGUUCAUCUAGGACCUUCCCCGCCCCUUCCCCUCACUUGUGUGGCAAGAAUGAUCUUGGGCAUCCUGAAAUCAUUCUACCCCAAACUGUCUCCCCCAGGCAGGAGUUUGUUUUGGUUCCUUGAAAUCGGCCAUUAUUCAAUUCCUCUGCCAGGGCCCAUGUUAGCCUGAGACCAGCUGGAAAUUUUUUGCCUCUCAGGAAGUCAAGAAUCUGUUAAAAAGGAAAGCGCAGAGACUCCUCUGUGGUCCCCGAAGGGCGCGACCCUCGCCUUCCGCCUUCUCAAAGCAUGUCAUUCGCGUCACUACCCACCCAGGCCACAAG